rnacentral:rRNA from 1 species
UACGAAGGGGGCGAGCGUUGUUCGGAAUUACUGGGCGUAAAGGGCGCGUAGGCGGCCGAUCAAGUCAGAUGUGAAAGUCCUGGGCUUAACCUGGGGACUGCAUUUGAUACUGAUUGGCUUGAAUGCAGGAGAGGAUAGCGGAAUUCCCAGUGUAGAGGUGAAAUUCGUAGAUAUUGGGAAGAACACCGGUGGCGAAGGCGGCUAUCUGGACUGGUGAUUGACGCUGAGGCGCGAAAGCGUGGGGAGCAAACAGG